GUGAACGCUGGCGGUAGGCCUAACACAUGCAAGUCGAACGGCAGCACAGUAAGAGCUUGCUCUUACGGGUGGCGAGUGGCGGACGGGUGAGGAAUACAUCGGAAUCUACUUUUUCGUGGGGGAUAACGUAGGGAAACUUACGCUAAUACCGCAUACGACCUACGGGUGAAAGCAGGGGAUCUUCGGACCUUGCGCGAUUGAAUGAGCCGAUGUCGGAUUAGCUAGUUGGCGGGGUAAAGGCCCACCAAGGCGACGAUCCGUAGCUGGUCUGAGAGGAUGAUCAGCCACACUGGAACUGAGACACGGUCCAGACUCCUACGGGAGGCAGCAGUGGGGAAUAUUGGACAAUGGGCGCAAGCCUGAUCCAGCCAUACCGCGUGGGUGAAGAAGACCUUCGGGUUGUAAAGCCCUUUUGUUGGGAAAGAAAAGCAGCAGGUUAAUACCCCGCUGUUCUGACGGUACCCAAAGAAUAAGCACCGGCUAACUUCGUG
rnacentral:rRNA from 1 species